UCGUCCGAUCACCGAAGUUAAGCUCGAUUGGGCGCGGUUAGUACUUGGAUGGGUGACCGCCUGGGAAUACCGCGUGCUGUAGGCA
rnacentral:rRNA from 1 species